AGCGAACGUUAGCGGCGCGCCUAACACAUGCAAGUCGCACGAGAAAGGGAGCAAUCCCCGGUACAGUGGCGCACGGGUGAGUAACACGUAGAUGACCUUCCCUGGAGUGGUGGAUAACCUGCCGAAAGGCGGGCUAAUACAGCAUGGGACCACAUGGUUUUGACCGAGUGGUGAAAGCGGGCCUCUGUUCACAAGCUCGCGCUCUGGGAUGGGUCUGCGUCCCAUCAGCUAGUUGGUGAGGUAAUGGCUCACCAAGGCAUCGACGGGUAGCUGGUCUGAGAGGAUGACCAGCCACACUGGAACUGAGACACGGUCCAGACUCCUACGGGAGGCAGCAGUGGGGAAUCUUGCGCAAUGGGCGAAAAGCCUGACGCAGCGACGCCGCGUGGGUGAUGAAGGCC
rnacentral:rRNA from 1 species